UGUUUGAAGGUAAUUUUUCUAAGUUAAAAAAAAUUAUAUAUGCAAGGAUAGUUAUAUUAUUGACCGAUUACGAGAGAUUCGUUGAAAAGUUUCGUCUCUCGAUAGAAAUUGCUCGAUAUUUUCAGAUCUCGUACAGAAACUCUAUUCUGUUCGUUCGAUUCUAUUAAUUUAUUCAAUUUCAUAUUCAAUCCUCGUUGAAUGUUUCGUUAUUUUCUGGGUCGAUGGAAUUAUUUAUUCGAGGUAUUUUUGCUAUUUUAUUCAAUAAUCGAGAUGUUUGAAGGUAAUUUUUCUAAGAAGUUAAAAAAAAUUAUAUAUGCAAGGAUAGUUAUUAAUUUUAAACUUUUGGUAUUAUUGACCGAUUACGAGAGAUUCGUUGAAAAGUUUCGUCUCUCGAUAGAAAUUGCUCGAUAUUUUCAGAAACUCUAUUCUGUUCGUUCGAGAAAAAAGAAGGAAAGAGAGAAGAAGGGGGAAAUAAGAGGAGCUCGAUAUUGGCCGAUUAACGGUAUCCAUUAUUCAUAAAUCACGAACACAGCGGCGUUAAAAGGGGUGAUCGAAGGGGAAACGGUGAAUUCUCACGCUCGGUUUAUUUCAGCUCUUCGUUAACGCGAUAAAUUCGUUAACGAACGGAGCGAUCGCUAAUUGAAGGUCGAAUCUGCGCGUCGCUUAACAAAUGCGAUCACUGUGUCUAACGAUCCGGUGAAAGUGAUCUUUCAUCAUUAAAAAUGAAUCGACGACAUCUUUCAAAAUUCUUUUUUUUCUUCUUUUCAAUCUAUUCGAAACAAGUUUUCUCCCCCUUUGAUUAUUUUUCGAGAUAACGAAAGGAUCGAUUUGUCGUUCGUUCGGCUGAUUUCACGAUCGAACGACCGACAUUCCUCUCCCGUGCAGCGCAACGAACUCAAAGGCACACGCGUGACCCGUUACGGUCGUGGCGCGUCAGCCAAUUAAAUGCAUAAAUCAACAUUAAUCGUGGCGCUGCUAGGUCGUCGAGACCGCUUAUUUGCGAUCCUUUUCGAAACAGUUUUAUAACGCUCCCUCUUUUUACGUUUCGUACGUAUUUUUUCUAUAUCGAAUGAUUACGAUGAUACACGAUCGUGUAAUAUAAAAUACCAAGAAAAAUCGUGAAACACUUUUUGUACAAUAUCUCUUCAUUCCCAAGAAAUUUUUAGAUUUCAUAAUUCUCCGAAUUCUUUCGACGUUAUAUUUUUCUUUAAUCCAACUAAUAACGCCUUAUCUUCAACUAGAUUCCUGGGAAAACGUGGUAUUUCUAAUCUUUAAAAAAUCGAGCUGGCGGUAUUCGUGGAAAAUAAUCAACACGCAAUAUCGCGGAUAAAUUAUUUCGUUGCAGCAAGAGUUGCCCGGGAGAACCGGUGAAAAUAAAUCUUCGUGUGUGCCCUUGAUUUUAUCGAAUGCACGGUCGCACGAGCGGCCGCUAAAAGCGCGGGGAAAACGAGGCUUGGCAACUCGGGACUCGGCCGUCAGGCGGCGAUACCUGUCGGAGUGGGGAUCAGUAAUGGCCGCCACAGGAUUCGAAAGCCCCGCCCCCGGCCGACGUCCCGGCACCGCCCGAUUCCCCGUUGCCAAGGCGACCCGCGGUCGGCCAUUUUGCACUCGUGACCUACCGCAACCGUCUCCUACACAGGCACGCAGAAUCUUUCCCCUUCUUCUUCGACCGCGAUUCACGUCUCCCCCCCACCCGGCUGACUACUCGUAUCGCGCGCCGUCGCGGUCCGUUUCGCGUUCCCCUCGUUUCGAACACGGACGGUGAAAAGGGAACGGUGCACGCGCGUCUUGUUUCCAUCAAAAUUUCCAAUCUUUUUUUCUCUUCCGAAUAUUUCAUCUCCGGUGAGAUGAUAAUUUCGCGUACGAGAAAUUCGAAUCUCUUUCGUUUCUAAGGUAAGAAGAGGGAAAAGAGAAGAGUCGUUGUGGAAAUGAAAUUCGCUUCCCGAUCAGAUAAACCACGUUCGCUCGUCGUUCCUUUCGACGUUUAAAUUCUGAAACGGCGGCCAUUGAUCAACUUCCUUCGCGCCUUCCGUGACUCUGAUCAUCCAACUAUUUCCAACGGCGUGACAACGAGCAGAAGGCGUGGAUGGAAAACCGCCUUGCCCCCAGAUCCCCGAACGGAUAACCGACACGUUAUUCGAUUAAUGGCCUAUCCCCCUUUCCAUUUUUUUAUUUCCAAGUAACGUGUCGAAAUUCUCAGUUUGAAAGCGCGUUGUAUUUGAAACAAUACGUUUCGAGGCUACGAUUCGGAUAGGUAUCUCAAGGUCAGUGCCAACAUUUCGAAAAGAUGCGUCACGCACCGUUUCGCGCAUAUUUAUUUUCGCGACGACGAGGACGAUGACCUCCUCCUCCUCCUUUCCGCAGUGGUAUCUCUCAAGGUCGUUAAAGAUGUUCACAGAUCAGAAUGAAAAAACGAGACAUUUCUACGCAAUUAUUUAUAUUUCCACAUUCUUCAUUCCGCACAUGCUUUUCAAACAAUGGACGAGGAGGGAGAGGAGAGGGCCGAUACAUAUUUAAAGGUAGGCAUUCAGUAUCUCGCAUGACUCCCGAACAAAAAACGGGACGGUGAUGAAAAAAGAAAGGAAGAAAGGAAGGAAGGAAGGAAGGAAGGAAAAAACUGCAUCCAUGGCCAUCCACCGACUUCAACUUCGCGAAGAAAGAACGUCCCGCAUUGUUUCAACCCUUCCCGUUAACAACGUCCCCAGCGAAUGCGGGCAGAGGAGGGGGGGGAGAGGCGAGCGAAAAGUCACGGUCCAUUUUUUCCAUUCCCUCCUCUCUCUCCCGCCUCGAAUCCCUCAGUGUGUCAUUAGUUUUGCCUUUAUUCAUCGCACGUGGCUGCUCGCGGCUGCCUCUGCACAAUACCGACAAAUCACGUUCCGUGAGUGUGUACGCGAUCUGCUCUCGAUGCGUCCCAUAGGCUGAUCAAGGGAAAUUUCUUCGAGUUAAAAAUGAUUUGGAAAAGGAUCGAGACUCGAGGUGAUUUUCUGUUUUACCUUUUCGUGAUUCGAUCUCCUAUAAUAAUGGGGAAGGAAUGGAAAGAAAUCGAUGGUAUUUUGUUGUAUAAGAGAAUCGUUGAAAGUAUCGUGUAAUGUAAAGUAUCUCUUAAAGGGGUGAAGAGAGAUGUAAAAUAAAUUAUAAUAUUAGAAAUA